rnacentral:rRNA from 1 species
CCUACGGGUGGCAGCAGUGGGGAAUAUUGCACAAUGGGGGAAACCCUGAUGCAGCGACGCCGCGUGAGUGAAGAAGUAUUUCGGUAUGUAAAGCUCUAUCAGCAGGAACGAGACAAGACGGUACCUGACUAAGAAGCCCCGGCUAACUACGUGCCAGCAGCCGCGGUAAUACGUAGGGGGCAAGCGUUAUCCGGAAUCACUGGGUGUAAAGGGAGCGUAGACGGCUGAGCAAGCCUGAAGUGAAAGGCGGGGGCCCAACCCCCGGACUGCUUUGGGAACUGUACGGCUGGAGUGCAGGAGAGGUAAGUGGAAUUCCUAGUGUAGCGGUGAAAUGCGUAGAUAUCAGGAGGAACACCGGCGGCGAAGGCGGCCUGCUGGACCGCGACUGACGUUGAGGCUCGAAAGCGUGGGGAGCGAACAGGAUUAGAUACCCCUGUAGUC